CCAAUAGCGUAUAUUAAAGUUGUUGCAGUUAAAAAGCUCGUAGUUGAAUUUCGGGAUUGACGUGAUGGUCAUGCCUUAAGGGGUAUGAACUGUUACUGUUGAUUUCUCACCUUCUGGAGAAACUUGAUGUCCUUUAUUGGGUGUCUUGCGGAUCCAGGACCUUUACCUUGAAAAAAUUAGAGUGUUUAAAGCAGGCAUUUUUGCUCGAAUACAUUAGCAUGGAAUAAUAGAAUAGGACGGCAUGGUUCUAUUUUGUUGGUUUCUAGGAUCACCGUAAUGAUUAAUAGGGAUAGUUGGGGGCAUUAGUACUCAAUUGUCAGAGGUGAAAUUCUUGGAUUUAUUGAAGACUAACUACUGCGAAAGCAUUUGCCAAGGAUGUUUUCAUUAAUCAAGAACGAAAGUUAGGGGAUCGAAGACGAUCAGAUACCGUCGUAGUCUUAACCAUAAACUAUGCCGACUAGGAAUCAGACGAUGUUAAUUUUUUAAUGACUCGUUUGGCACCUUACG
rnacentral:rRNA from 1 species